GGACGGGUGAGUAACACGUAGGCAACCUGCCCUCAAGUUUGGGACAACUACCGGAAACGGUAGCUAAUACCGAAUAAUUGUUUUCUUCGCCUGAAGGAAACUGGAAAGACGGAGCAAUCUGUCACUUGGGGAUGGGCCUGCGGCGCAUUAGCUAGUUGGUGGGGUAACGGCUCACCAAGGCGACGAUGCGUAGCCGACCUGAGAGGGUGAUCGGCCACACUGGGACUGAGACACGGCCCAGACUCCUACGGGAGGCAGCAGUAGGGAAUCUUCCGCAAUGGGCGAAAGCCUGACGGAGCAAUGCCGCGUGAGUGAUGAAGGUUUUCGGAUCGUAAAGCUCUGUUGCCAGGGAAGAACGCUUGGGAGAGUAACUGCUCUCAAGGUGACGGUACCUGAGAAGAAAGCCCCGGCUAACUACGUGCCAGCAGCCGCGGUAAUACGUAGGGGGCAAGCGUUGUCCGGAAUUAUUGGGCGUAAAGCGCGCGCAGGCGGUCAUUUAAGUCUGGUGUUUAAUCCCGGGGCUCAACCCCGGAUCGCACUGGAAACUGGGUGACUUGAGUGCAGAAGAGGAGAGUGGAAUUCCACGUGUAGCGGUGAAAUGCGUAGAUAUGUGGAGGAACACCAGUGGCGAAGGCGACUCUCUGGGCUGUAACUGACGCUGAG
rnacentral:rRNA from 1 species